AUUGAACGCUGGCGGCAGGCCUAACACAUGCAAGUCGAGCGGAUGAAGGGAGCUUGCUCCUGGAUUCAGCGGCGGACGGGUGAGUAAUGCCUAGGAAUCUGCCUGUUAGUGGGGGAUAACGUCCGGAAACGGGCGCUAAUACCGCAUACGUCCUGAGGGAGAAAGUGUGGGAUCUUCGGACCUCACGCUAUCAGAUGAGCCUAGGUCGGAUUAGCUAGUUGGUGGGGUAAAGGCCUACCAAGGCGACGAUCCGUAACUGGUCUGAGAGGAUGAUCAGUCACACUGGAACUGAGACACGGUCCAGACUCCUACGGGAGGCAGCAGUGGGGAAUAUUGGACAAUGGGCGAAAGCCUGAUCCAGCCAUGCCGCGUGUGUGAAGAAGGUCUUCGGAUUGUAAAGCACCUUUGGUUGGGAGGAAGAGCAGUAAGUUAAUACCUUGCUGUUUUGACGUUACCAACAGAAUAAGCACCGGCUAACUUCGUG
rnacentral:rRNA from 1 species